rnacentral:rRNA from 1 species
AGUGAACGCUGGCGGUAGGCCUAACACAUGCAAGUCGAACGGCAGCACAGUAAGAGCUUGCUCUUACGGGUGGCGAGUGGCGGACGGGUGAGGAAUACAUCGGCAUCUUCUUUUUCGUGGGGGAUAACGUAGGGAAACUUACGCUAAUACCGCAUACGACCUACGGGUGAGAGCAGGGGAUCUUCGGACCUUGCGCGAUUGAAUGAGCCGAUGUCGGAUUAGCUAGUUGGCGGGGUAAAGGCCCACCAAGGCGACGAUCCGUAGCUGGUCUGAGAGGAUGAUCAGCCACACUGGAACUGAGACACGGUCCAGACUCCUACGGGAGGCAGCAGUGGGGAAUAUUGGACAAUGGGCGCAGGCCUGAUCCAGCCAUACCGCGUGGGUGAAGAAGGCCUUCGGGUUGUAAAGCCCUUUUGUUGGGAAAGAAAAGCAGCAGGUUAAUACCCCGCUGUUCUGACGGUACCCAAAGAAUAAGCACCGGCUAACUUCGUG